CUAAAAGUUUGGUCCUAGCUUUAGUGUCAACUUUAAUUAACAUUACACAUGCAAGUCUCCGCCUCCCAGUGACAACGCCCUUAUAAUAUAAAUAGGAGCCGAUAUCAGGCACAAUAUACAUUUAUUAGCCUAUGACAUCUAGCACUAGCCACACCCUCAAUGGGCCUGCAGCAGUGAUAAACAUUAAGUAAUAAGCACCAGCUUGACUCAGUUAUAAUUAACAGAAUUGGUAUAUCUUGUGCCAGCCACCGCGGUUAUACAAGAAACUCAAGUUGAUAUUCUACGGCGUAAAGUGUGAUUAAGAGAAAUUUAAAAUACUAAGACUAAUAACCUACUAAGCUGUCAUACGCAUUAGUAUAGUAACACACCCAACAUUACUUAAACGAAAGUGAUCUUAACUAAAAAACUAUUCAAAACUCACGACUGCUAAAACACAAACUGGGAUUAGAUACCCCACUAUGUUUAGCCAUAAAACUUGAACACUUACACCCAUUUCUCCGCCAGAGUAUUACGAGCAAUAGCUUAAAACUCAAAGGACUUGGCGGUGCCUCAAAUCCAUCCAGAGGAGCCUGUUCUAUAAUCGAUAAUCCACGCUUAACCUCACCACCAUUUGAUAAUCCAGCCUAUAUACCACCGUCACCAGCAUGCCUUGUGAAAGAACCACAGCAAGCAAAAACGAAAUCUCCAAAUACGCCAGGUCAAGGUGUAGCAUAUAUGGUGGGAAGAAAUGGGCUACAUUUUCUUCUAAAGACCACACGAAUGACAAAAUGAAAUUACAUCUGAAGGCGGAUUUGGCAGUAAGGCUGGGUAAUCAUACCACCCUUAACCUUGGCCCUGAGGCGCGCACACACCGCCCGUCACCCUCGUCAUUAUCUUAUUUUACCUUAAAUAAAACUUUAUUGAGACACUCAGACGAGGUAAGUCGUAACAAGGUAAGCGCACUGGAAAGUGCUCUUGGAAUAC
rnacentral:ncRNA from 1 species